rnacentral:rRNA from 1 species
AACUAUAUGAUAUAAUAUAUAGCGUUUCUGCUCAAUGGAACUCUAAAUAGCCGCAGUACUCUGACUGUGCAAAGGUAGCAUAAUCAAUUGGCCUCUAAUUAAGGUCUAGUAUGAACGAACUUAUGGGUAGCAACUGUCUUAAAAUAGUAAAUUAAAUUAAUUAAUAAGUGCAAAUGCUUAUUUGAUUAUAUUAGACGAGAAGACCCUAGAAACUUAUUAUAUUUUGUUGGGGCGACAGAAUUACAUAAAACUAAUUUUAUUUUACGGGACGUAAAACAGAAAGAUAAAGUUACUCUAGGGAUAACAGCAUAAUUUUAAUUAGCUUGUGACCUCGAUGUUGGACUAGGUAGAAAGUUUUUUAGAAGAAAGCUUUCUUCGCUCUGUUCGAGCAAUUUUAACCUACAU